rnacentral:tRNA from 1 species
ACGGCAGUAGCUCAAUUGGCAGAGCACCGGUCUCCAAAACCGGGGGUUGCAGGUUCAACUCCUGCCUGCCGUG